rnacentral:rRNA from 1 species
AGUGAACGCUGGCGGCGUGCCUAACACAUGCAAGUCGAACGAUGAUGGAGGAGCUUGCUCUUCCUGAUUAGUGGCGCACGGGUGAGUAUACCAUAGAUAAUGUACCUCUUAGUUCGGGAUAGCCACUGGAAACGGUGAUUAAUACCGGAUACUGCUUCUUGUCCUAAGGCAAGUCGGGAAAGUUUUUUCGCUAAGAGAUCAGUCUAUGUCCUAUCAGCUAGUUGGUGAGGUAAUGGCUCACCAAGGCAAUGACGGGUAUCUGGUUUGAGAGGAUGAUCAGACACACUGGAACUGAGACACGGUCCAGACUCCUACGGGAGGCAGCAGUGAGGAAUAUUGCACAAUGGAGGAAACUCUGAUGCAGCAACGCCGCGUGGAGGAUGACGCAUUUCGGUGUGUAAACUCCUUUUAAGAGGGAAGAUAAUGACGGUACCUCUUGAAUAAGCACCGGCUAACUCCGUGCCAGCAGCCGCAGUAAAAC